CCUACGGGAGGCAGCAGUGGGGAAUAUUGGACAAUGGGGGGAACCCUGAUCCAGCCAUGCCGCGUGUGUGAAGAAGGCCCUCGGGUUGUAAAGCACUUUCAGUGAGGAAGAACGCCUGGUGGUUAAUACCCAUCAGGAAAGACAUCACUCACAGAAGAAGCACCGGCUAACUCCGUGCCAGCAGCCGCGGUAAUACGGAGGGUGCGGGCGUUAAUCGGAAUUACUGGGCGUAAAGCGCGCGUAGGUGGCUUGAUAAGCCGGUUGUGAAAGCCCCGGGCUCAACCUGGGAACGGCAUCCGGAACUGUCAAGCUAGAGUGCAGGAGAGGAAGGUAGAAUUCCCGGUGUAGCGGUGAAAUGCGUAGAGAUCGGGAGGAAUACCAGUGGCGAAGGCGGCCUUCUGGACUGACACUGACACUGAGGUGCGAAAGCGUGGGUAGCAAACAGGAUUAGAUACCCUUGUAGUC
rnacentral:rRNA from 1 species